UCAGGAGACCUCCAGUCGGAACCUGGUGACCCUGCGUGUGGACCCCAAUGGCUUCUUCUUGUACUGGACGGGCCCCAACAUGGAGGUGGACACACUGGACAUCAGUUCCAUCAGGGACACACGGACAGGCCGGUACGCCCGCCUGCCCAAGGACCCCAAGAUCCGGGAAGUUCUGGGCUUUGGGGGUCCCGAUGCCCGGCUGGAGGAGAAGCUGAUGACGGUG
rnacentral:lncRNA from 1 species